AACGCACAUUGCACUCCUCUGGAGUAUGCCUGUUUGAGAAUCUAUAGUAUUAAUUUCUUGUGAUUUCAUUCGUGAAUGACCAAGGAGAUAUGAAGUUCCCAUCUUUUGGGUGGGUUCUUUUAAAUAGAUUGCUACUAGUAAUAUGAAAAUGCUUGACAUUUCUCUAUAUCUAUUAGAAAAGUAUGUGUAUGAAACUGUGGUUUCUCAUAAUGCCUAUUAUCUUAGAGGAGAUUUGGAGUUUUCAUAUGAACAGUUAGUCCACACCUAUAAAGGCGCAAGCCUUGAACCAUGGUCUCAAAUCAGGUAGGAAGACCCGCUGAACUUAA
rnacentral:misc_RNA from 1 species